rnacentral:rRNA from 1 species
UUUCGAAUUAUUCACAAUGGGCGAAAGCCUGAUGGUGCGACGCCGCGUGAGGGAUGAAGGUCUUCGGAUCGUAAACCUCUGUCACCGGGGAAGAAUGGUUGCGACCUAACACGUCGCAAAUUGACUUAACCCGGAGAGGAAGCAGUGGCUAACUCUGUGCCAGCAGCCGCGGUAAUACAGAGACUGCAAGCGUUAUUCGGAUUCACUGGGCGUAAAGGGUGCGCAGGCGGUUAUGUGUGUUAGAUGUGAA